rnacentral:rRNA from 1 species
GCUUUUGUACACACCGCCCGUCGCUACUACCGAUUGAAUGAUUUAGUGAGGUCUUCGGACUGGUACGGACUGGUACGCGAGUCGUUGCCGGUGCUACCGGAAAGAUGACCAAACUUGAUCAUUUAGAGGAAGUAAAAGUCGUAACAAAAUUUCCGUAGGUGAACCUGCGGAAGAAUCAUUA